UACAGAGGGUGCAAGCGUUAAUCGGAAUUACUGGGCGUAAAGCGUGCGUAGACGGUUAUCUAAGUCGGAUGUGAAAGCCCCGGGCUCAACCUGGGAAUUGCAUUCGAUACUGGAUAGCUAGAGUUCGGCAGAGGGAAGUGGAAUUUCCGGUGUAGCGGUGAAAUGCGUAGAUAUCGGAAGGAACAUCAGUGGCGAAAGCGACUUCCUGGACCAGAACUGACGUUCAGGCACGAAAGCGUGGGGAGCAAACAGG
rnacentral:rRNA from 1 species